AUUUCUUUUGCUUUAAAUUGUUUUACAUAGUAUAUUGAGUUGGGUUUCAUCUUUUUGAUUUAGCAUUGCAUUUUAAUGGCUUUAAUUGUGCUUAGAUAUUUGUUUGGGUUUAGCAUUUCACUGUCUUUAAUGCUUUCUAUGAUGUUUGAAUGUAUUUAAUUUUUAUUUUUAAUUUCGUCAGUUGCAUUCACAAACAAAACUUUUCACAAAACCCCCCACUUCGUGUCUGACUUAAUUCUCGAACAGCAAAAUUGGUCCUUGAGAGACGACCUAGGAGUCACUUCCUAGUUAUACUGCAUUCCUAAUAUGCAAUUAAAUUUGUAUGGGCCGCGAUAACCUAUCAAAAUUUUGGCGCCGUUGCCGGGGACCAACGGUUCGGUUUUAGGUCUUUUUUUGUGUUUGUGUGUGUUGUGUUUUGUCUAGUGUUGUGAGUGUGAUGUUCUGUUUUGUGUGUUGCAUUUAGGUAGCUUGAGUUGCAUAUUUUCAUUGCAUUCUUCUUUUUCCCCCU
rnacentral:lncRNA from 1 species